GCUAGCGUUGUUCGGAAUUACUGGGCGUAAAGCGCGCGUAGGCGGCUUUGUAAGUUAGAGGUGAAAGCCCGGAGCUCAACUCCGGAACUGCCUUUAAAACUGCAUCGCUUGAAUCCAGGAGAGGUGAGUGGAAUUCCGAGUGUAGAGGUGAAAUUCGUAGAUAUUCGGAAGAACACCAGUGGCGAAGGCGGCUCACUGGACUGGUAUUGACGCUGAGGUGCGAAAGCGUGGGGAGCAAACAGG
rnacentral:rRNA from 1 species